GACGAAGGGGGCUAGCGUUGUUCGGAAUUACUGGGCGUAAAGCGUGUGUAGGUGGUUGUCAUAGUCAGGUGUGAAAGCCUUGAGCUCAACUCAAGAAAUGCACUUGAUACUGGGCAGCUAGAGGACCGGAGAGGAUAGUGGAAUUCCCAGUGUAGUGGUGAAAUACGUAGAGAUUGGGAAGAACACCAGUGGCGAAGGCGGCUAUCUGGACGGUUUCUGACACUGAUGCGCGACAGCAUGGGGAGCAAACAGG
rnacentral:rRNA from 1 species